rnacentral:rRNA from 1 species
UACGGAGGGGGCUAGCGUUGUUCGGAAUUACUGGGCGUAAAGCGCACGUAGGCGGCUUUGUAAGUUAGAGGUGAAAGCCCAGGGCUUAACCCUGGAAUUGCCUUUAAGACUGCAUCGCUAGAAUUGUGGAGAGGUAAGUGGAAUUCCGAGUGUAGAGGUGAAAUUCGUAGAUAUUCGGAAGAAACACCAGUGGCGAAGGCGACUUACUGG